rnacentral:tRNA from 5 species
GCCCCUAUAGCUCAGCUGGUAGAGCACCUGAUUUGUAAUCAGGGGGUCGCGGGUUCAAGUCCUGCUGGGGGCACCA